rnacentral:rRNA from 1 species
UACGUAGGUAGCAAGCGUUGUCCGGAAUUACUGGGUGUAAAGGGAGCGUAGGCGGUUAUGCAAGUUGGAUUUUAAAUCUAUGGGCUCAACCCAUAGCUGGGUUCAAAACUGCAUAACUUGAGUGAGGUAGAGGUAAGCGGAAUUCCCGGUGUAGCGGUGGAAUGCGUAGAUAUCGGGAGGAACACCAGUGGCGAAGGCGGCUUACUGGGCCUUAACUGACGCUGAUGCUCGAAAGCGUGGGUAGCAAACA